rnacentral:rRNA from 1 species
CCUACGGGCGGCAGCAGUAGGGAAUAUUGCUCAAUGGGGGAAACCCUGAAGCAGCAACGCCGCGUGGAGGAUGAAGGUUUUCGGAUUGUAAACUCCUUUUGUUAGAGAAGAUAAUGACGGUAUCUAACGAAUAAGCACCGGCAAACUCCGUGCCAGCAGCCGCGGUAAUACGGAGGGUGCAAGCGUUACUCGGAAUCACUGGGCGUAAGGGGCGCGGAGGCGGGAUAGAAAUUCAGAUGUGAAAUCCUAUGGCUAAACCAUAGAACUGCAUUUGAGACUGUUAUGCUGGAGUAUGGGAGAGGUAGGUGGAAUGCUUGGUGUAGGGGUAAAAUCCGUAGAGAUCAAGAGGAAUACUCAUUGCGAAGGCGACCUGCUAGAACAUGACUGACGCUGAUGCGCGAAAGCGUGGGGAGCAAACAGGAUUAGAUACCCGUGUAGUC